rnacentral:lncRNA from 1 species
AAAAAACCAAAAAAAACAAACCAAAAAAAACAAACAAACAAAUUGUAGCAAGGUCAGCUGAGUCGUGGUCUUUUUCAUGUCAUGUCUUGUAUAAAUAUAUAGCACUGCUUUGGUGUCAUUGUGGGAGUAUAUAUUUCACGGGCCAAUAAGAAGACGACAAGAAGAAAAUGAAUAUUCCUUAGAUCAAACUAAUUACCCUAAUUAAUUCCUAUUUAAUUAGGAAAAUUAUCUUUGAUGUAAGAUAUGAAUAUCUCCCUAAAUCAAGGAAUCAAUUUCCACCAAAUCUCUUGGAGUAAUUUCUAUCAUUUUUUUGGGGAAGAAUAAUUCUAACUAAAUAAGGAUUAUUCUUUCAAAAUCCUAGCACACAAGGAGGUUAUAAAUAGAUGUAAUCUUGGCUAAAAGUCACAAAUAAUCCAUGUAAUUUUGUUGAAAGACACCUAUGUACCAAGUGUAUAGGUAUUAUAUUCUUCUUUUUUUUUUUUUUUUUUUGGGUACAAUUUCACUCAAUAAAUUGGAAAAAUGUUAGCACAAGCCAUGGGACAUGAUUUUGCAGCAAACUUCGAGAUAUGCCCAAAAUUCCAGGUUUAUUUACAGGGGAAGUUAGCGUUAUUCCAACUUACUGGUGAAAUUCAAUAAGAAAAGACUAUAACGUCAAUGCACAUGAUAUGCAUGGGGCACAAAUGAUUUAUAUACUUAUCGAUAUAUAUAUAUAUAUAUAUAUAUAAUAGAGCUUGCAUUGAGGGAUUCCUCAAAUAAGUUCAUUUGAGGGACACCCUUAUAGAUCCC